GUCGGGAUAGCUCAGUGGAGAGCAGAG
rnacentral:tRNA from 1 species